CGUGAGGCUCCAGGAGCAGAAGGUGGAGCUCCCCCACGGCAGCCAGCCUGGCGGACGCGCAAGCAGCAGUGACUGUCCUUGACUUCUCUACUAUGAGCGCUUCACUCCCGGCAGUCAGGGGAGGUUGUCUUAGUCUCAGGGGCUGAAUGGAGUGGUCCUGAAGGUGAGCGCUGCUGUGAUACUUCCUCCAGGAAAAAAGGCGUAUUAUAGAAAAACUCAGCACAUCAUCGUCCUCUCGAGGAAAAAUUAUUUUGUCACUCAGCCAUUAGGCUACCGUGUGCAAGAGCAGUGUGCUGCUCUGCCAGCCCUUUGGGGCAUUUCUCUUAGUGCGAGGAGGAGAGCUGCAGACGUGCUGAAACCGCAAGAUCGAUUAUAAAGCCGUGUGUGUCCUGGGAACAUCUGGAAGCCUUUUUGCAGCGUGAACCUAGGUGUCAUAUUCAUUUGGAACGGAGUAUCUUCCAAGGUGUGUGCAGGUGGAGGUGAGCACACAGCAGCAGGGGAAGCGGCGGCUGGCGUGGCUUCCCAGGGAUGCAGCGCGGUUGCUGAAGACAAGACCUCCAGCCCCUCCAGCUCCAGGGACCCACAGCUCUCAGAGGCAAAACCUGCCAAGCCCCGAGCCCUCCCAUGCAGCGGGCUGCUGAGUCCAAAGAAGAAUGAAGCUUUUGUGGCGGUCGCUCCAUCAGUGCCACGUCCCUGCUGCCCACCGCACAGCCAUGUGCUAGCCCGUCAGGAUCUCAAAACGAAACCACCUCUCCUCUCUGUGAUCCCGUCUCCUUUCUUCGCUGCCUUUCGGUGCGUUUUGAACAGUUUUUGAGCCUGGUCAGGUGAUGCAGGCAUCCCUGCUGCUCCUGCCCGCUUGCAGCGCCUGUGAAUGAGCUCUCCUGGAGCAGUGUUUCCUGCCUGGCAGUGA
rnacentral:lncRNA from 1 species